rnacentral:rRNA from 1 species
AUGGGGCCUCCUCCGAAGAAGCUGGUCUACAGCUUCGUGGGGCGCGGCACCACGGUGCUGGCCGACCACGCCGAGGCCUCCGGCAACUUCGCCUCCGUCGCUGCCCAGUGCCUCCAGAAGCUCCCGCCCAACAACAACCGGCUCAGCUACAACUGCGACGGCCACACCUUCAACUACCACAUCCACGAUGGAUUCACAUAUUGUGUUGUUGCUACCGAGUCUGCUGGUCGGCAACUUCCAAUCGGCUUCAUUGAGAGGGUUAAGGAGGAUUUCGCCAAGAAAUACAGCGGAGGAAAAGCCAAAACUGCUGGUCCCAAUAGCCUCAAACGAGAAUUUGGGCCUAAGCUUAAAGAACACAUGAAGUAUUGUGACCUGCAUCCUGAGGAAAUUGACAAGCUUGCAAAAGUGAAGGCUCAGGUUUCAGAGGUGAAGGGAGUGAUGAUGCAAAACAUUGAAAAGGUACUAGAUCGUGGUGAGAAAAUCGAACUGCUUGUCGAUAAGACCGAGGAUCUCCGCUCACAGGUAUCAUAUACUCAUACGCACCUCGAUUCGAUCUUUUCUUUCCUCUGUCACCAUCCUCGGUGCAUGACAUAUCUGGUCAUAUUUGCCUGCCUGCAGGCACAAGAUUUCAAGAAGCAAGGAACAAAGAUACGGCAGAAGAUGUGGUGGGAGAACAUGAAGAUAAAGCUCAUCGCUUUUGGCAUCAUUGUCUUGCUGAUCCUCUGCAUCAUCUUGACAGUUUGCCGCGACUUCAAAUGCUGGUGA